CGGAUUGCUUUUUCACCUGGAAGCGAAGCGAGGCAGCACUUUGCUAGCUGGCAAGGCAGCGAAGACAUGCAGCGGUGUGCUUGUUGGCCAGGCGGCGAAGCGACUCUGCAGUCCGCUUGUUGGCGAAGUGGUGAAGAGAUUCUGCCCACUGCUUGUUUGCAACGCCUCCAAUAGGGGCAGCGGACUGCGUGUUGGCGAGGCGGGAAGAGAUGCAGCACUUCCUUCUUUUGGCAGGCAUCAAAGAGAUGCAGCGGUUAGUUAGUGCACGAGGUGGCAAAGAGACACAAGGGCUUGCUUGUCUGCGAGGCGGCAAAGAGACGAAGCGGUUUGAUUCUUCGACAGGCAGCGAAGAGAUUAGGCAGUCUCCUUCUUUGAUAGAUAGCGGACAUCCACAGUGGUUCCUCAUUCUGCGAGGCAACGAAGAGACGCAGCGGAUGUUCGCUGUCUCACAAAGAAGGAGACCGUCUAAUCUAUUCACUGCCUGGCGAACAAGCAAACUGCUUCGUCUCUUCGUUGCCUCGCCGAAUGAGGAACCACUGUGGAUGUUCGCUGUCUUACAAACAAGGAGACUGCCUAAUCUGUCCACUGCCUGGCGAAGAAGCAAAACGCUGCGUCUCCUCGCUGCAUUGUGAAGAAGUAAACCAUUGCAUGUGUUGAGUGCCUGGAGAACUAAGUGCUGUGUCUCUUCGCUGCCUCGCAGAAUAACCAGCCACCAUGGAUGUUCGCUGUCUCACAAAGCAGCAGACUGCUGCGUCUGUUCGCUGCCUCGCCAACUGGCAAAGUGCUGCAUCGGGUCGCUUCCAGGCGAAAAAGCAAUCCGCGAUGCCACUUCGCCAUCUAGUGGACAAGCAAACCGCUGCAUCUGUUCGCUGCCUCGCAGAAUGAGUGACCACUGUGGAUGUUUGCUGUCUCACAAACAAGGAGACUGCCUAAUCUGUCCACUGCCUGGCGAACAAGCAGACCGCUGCGUCUCUUCGCUGCCUGGCGAACAAGCAGACCGCUGUGUCUCUUCGCUGCCUCGCAGAAUGUGGAACCACUGUGGAUGUUCGCUGUCUCACAAACAAGGAGACUGCCUAAUCUGUGCACUGCCUGGCGAACAAGCAAACCGCUUCGUCUCUUCGCUGCCUGGAGAGGAAGCAGACCACUGGUUCUCUUCGCUCUCUCGCAAAAGAGCACAUCACUGCAUCUAUUCGCCUACUCACAAAACAGCACACGACCGUGGCUCUUCCCUACCUCGCAAACAAGCAAGCUGCUCUAUGUGUUCGCUGCCUCGCCAACUAACUAACUGCUGCGUCUCUUYGCUCCCUCGCAAACUAACUGACCUCAGYGUCUCUUYGCUGCCUCGCACACUAACUUACGACUACGUCUGUGCCUUGCCUUGCAAACUAAGGAACCGCUGCGUCUCUUCCCCUCCUCGCCAACAAGCAACCCGCUGUGUCUCUUGGCUG
rnacentral:lncRNA from 1 species